UACGUAGGGUGCAAGCGUUAAUCGGAAUUACUGGGCGUAAAGCGUGCGCAGGCGGUUCGCUAAGACAGAUGUGAAAUCCCCGGGCUUAACCUGGGAACUGCAUUUGUGACUGGCGGGCUAGAGUAUGGCAGAGGGGGGUAGAAUUCCACGUGUAGCAGUGAAAUGCGUAGAGAUGUGGAGGAAUACCGAUGGCGAAGGCAGCCCGCUGGGCCAAUACUGACGCUCAUGCACGAAAGCGUGGGGAGCAAACAGG
rnacentral:rRNA from 1 species